rnacentral:rRNA from 1 species
CAGCCGCCGCGGGAAUACGAAGGGUGCAAGCGUUACUCGGAAUUACUGGGCGUAAAGCGUGCGUAGGUGGUGGUUUAAGUCUGUUGUGAAGGCCCUGGGCUCAACCUGGGAAUUGCAGUGGAUACUGGGUCACUAGAGUGUGGUAGAGGAUAGUGGAAUUUCCGGUGUAGCAGUGAAAUGCGUAGAGAUCGGAAGGAACAUCUGUGGCGAAGGCGACUAUCUGGGCCAACACUGACACUGAGGCACGAAAGCGUGGGGAGCAAACAGGAUUAGAGACCCCUGUAGUCCCUGUCUCUUAUAC